AACGACGACGAGGGAUGGAUGGGUAGAGAUGGAUGGAUGCGCCUCUGCUUGGAGAGUUUAGACAGGGCAUGAACAAGACACAAACCAGGCUUUUGUGACCCCAGUGGGACGCCAAUAUCCAAAACAAAGCUGACUGGCUGCCUGACUGGAUAGAUGGAUAGAGAAACGGGAGUGACGCUUGAUACGUACGAGCAUGUCCGGACCUUUCUGUACUAGAAUUUGGCUUCGCUUCUCACUCGGAGGAACGAGUCCAGCGACGAUCUCGCUAACGGAAUUGGGAGAGAGAAGGCAAGGAUCAACGAAUGUUCCUGGUCUUUCAUCAAGUUGUUUCAUUUCUCUCCUCACUCUAAUCUGUCAUCGGGGGUAAGAGGAAGAGAGGAAGAGAGGAAGAGAAAGAGAGAGAGAGGGGGGGUCAAAAAUCGAUAUUUUUCUUCUACCACAGAAAGCUAUUUCCUUUGUGGACGUGGAUGGUAUAUGCAUUAUUCGCAAUGUGUGUUGUAAUUAUACCCACUGGUGGAUACGGAUUUGGCAGAUAGUUAUCCUAGCUGAUAACUCUUCUGUCUGAUAGCGCCGACAACGAUAUCGAUUUGAACCACAAUAUGUAUGUGGAGCGUCAGUGAAACAUGUUUGAACCUGUCUGUUUCCUAGUUGGUUCAAAAGGCGUUAAAUGUGGAUCCGAUUGAAAGGAAACAAAGAAACCAAUGGUUUGAGGAAAAAUAAUCACAACUCCCGAGGUGCCACCAAUUGGCGAAGUGGGAAAGAAAGCAGAGCUUGACUAAUGACAUGAUUUAUGGCUCAUCUAGCCCACUUCAGUGCAAUAAGCCUAGUUCGGUGUAAGUGCUCUGGCUCCAAGGUGGUGGUCCGAGUGGACAACAGGAUGUUGUGCUCACACACUCGUUCUUGUAAUUCAACAACCAUUGAUUCAUUUAUUCAAAAAUGGUUCAUUUCCUCCAGAUCGUUUUCGCAAUGACAUCAAGUUGUCAGAGUGUCCAACAAUUAAACACUAGAGCCACCCCGAGCAUGAACAAGAUCGUUCCUAGACGGAAAUGACAGAUUUACUCAUCGUGCUUUGGUCAGGAGAAUCGUUCACGUCAAGGACGGGGAAUGAACUCGCCUCUCUCGAAAUGAUUUACUGGGCAAGAUGAAGAAGCGAUCAUCUCGCUUCUUCACCCGAGAAGAAAAAUAAACCAGCUAAAAAUAAGCGAACGCGAAGCGAUUCUUGCACUCACUAUUAAACAAUCCCAAUCCAAACAGCCUUGUCGCCAAGGCCGCCAGAUUGCACUGGCUAGGAUCAAUUUCGUACCUCCUCAAGGCCGACCGACCGACCCACAGACUAACAGAAAUGAAAUGCGCCCUUCCCUUCCUUCGUUUUUCGACAGAUCCUUCCAGGGAGUACAAAAAUACUCGUCUAUUAUAUCAUAUAUGCUGAUUGGCUUCAAGAGGUCGAGGCUGAUGACAGCCAAUCACCAUCAGAUUUGUUUGUUCGGUUCAAUAAUCCCCGUUUCAUUUUGAGGGGCCGGAAAAUGUGUUGUAAAACAAUUAUUUCUCUUAUUGGAGAGAGUGUAAAGAGACACCGCAAACAAGUUGAGAACAUCAAACAAGGAAGAGCCAUCCAUAAAAAUACUCUUCUAAGUAAAGAGGGCAGAAAUGUACGCACGAAGGUCCGUGGGGUAAGCAUCGUGGUGCAAGUCUCCAUCUGCCAUCAUUUCACCCCCUCGGCGGAAUUCAUAUUUUGAUCUAUACAUGAAGGUGCGAGAACCACCAACGUAACGACCAAGAGGCAAGAGCAGAAGCUUUGGUGUUCAGUUUGGUUACGAAUGUGUACAACCAGAAGACUGGAGUAUCUUUUUUUUAGGGAAGCACCAUGCAUGGUAAACUUACGAAUGGCGCGAAGCAGCUGCUACAGUACUAAAAGGGCAUUGCCAAAGCCAAGCCAAGCUGAACCCAAGUUAGCAACGUGGAUGAAGCCGAGCAUUUCCAAGAAUAUGCAAUUUAACAAAUGCGACUUGCAAUAAAAAGGCUAACAAGUGAAUGAAUGCUACUACAGAAAAGGAGUGCUCUUUAUCUGAUGAAUUUGCAGGGAAAAGUGGAUUUGAGAAUGGUCUUAUAAAUGUGCUAACCUUGGCCUCAAAAGGGAUCACAAGAACCCCCUGGCCUUCAAUCCGGCUUGGAACCCUCUGGCUUUAUGACCCGUCUCACUCAGAGGCACGACUCAAAUGACUCCCAAGUUCCAACAACACCAAAGAAAGACGUGGCGAAAUAGAACAAGGUGAAAGAUUGAGGCCAUAAACUAAAUUUCCCAGACAGCCUUACUGUAGCGAAUUAAUACCACAAUAAGCUUUUGGGGGUUUCGUUUGAGGCAACAUGUCGUAUAGAUGGAUGGAACACACGAAGUUUCGACAAUUGAAUUGGAUCUUCUGGUGUUCGUUUAUCUUAUCACUCAAUGCCCCGUUGAGUUGGCCAUUAACAUGGUUGUCAAAUGCCCAUCUAGUCACUCAAUCUACGUUUUGCGGGGGCCAUGGAGGAACAUCCAACAACGAUCAAUCCAGCCAAUCACUGGAAGCUCUCAACCCACGAUUGGUCGAAAUAAAUCAUAACGAGACCAUUUGAACCUGCCAAAAUAUGAACGGUUUUUUUGUCCUUUCUAAAAGCAGAAUAAACAAAGAAUAAGUCCGAUUCCGCCCCUUUUAAGAGCAUUUGAAAACGUAAUUUUUGGAUUACUCGAACCGGUUUUGUGGCAUUGGGAUCUAUUUGAAAAGGUAAACUACGUAGUUAGUCUCGAUCAUUCCGAAAUAUUAUUUUCAUGAAAUUCGCGAGAAAAAAAAACCUCAUUCGUCAUAAAGUCAGUCUAUAGAGAAGGAAGUGCGUCAG